rnacentral:rRNA from 1 species
CUACGGGCUGCUCCAGUGAGGAAUUUUGCGCAAUGGGGGCAACCCUGACGCAGCAACGCCGCGUGAGUGAAGAAGGCCUUUGGGUCGUAAAGCUCUGUCAACAGGGAAGAAGUUAUAAUUAUUUAAUAGAUAAUUGUAUUGACGGUACCUGUGGAGGAAGCGCCGGCUAACUCCGUGCCAGCAGCCGCGGUAACACGGGGGGCGCAAGCGUUAUUCGGAAUUAUUGGGCGUAAAGGGCGCGCAGGCGGUCUUGUCCGUCAGGUGUGAAAGCUCGGGGCUCAACCCCGGAAGUGCACUUGAAACAGCAAGACUUGAAUACGGGAGGGGAGAGGGGAAUUCCUGGUGUAGAGGUGAAAUUCGUAGAUAUCAGGAGGAACACCGAUGGCGAAGGCAUCUCUCUGGACCGAUAUUGACGCUGAGGCGCGAAGGCGUGGGUAGCGAACGGGAUUAGAUACCCCGGUAGUC